rnacentral:rRNA from 1 species
CCUACGGGAGGCAGCAGUAGGGAAUUUUCCGCAAUGGGCGAAAGCCUGACGGAGCAAUACCGCGUGAGGGAUGACGGCCUGUGGGUUGUAAACCUCUUUUCUCAAGGAAGAAGUUCUGACGGUACUUGAGGAAUAAGCAUCGGCUAACUCUGUGCCAGCAGCCGCGGUAAUACAGAGGAUGCAAGCGUUAUCCGGAAUCACUGGGCAUAAAGCGUCUGUAGGUUGUUUAGUAAGUCUGCUGUUAAAGACUGGGGCUUAACCCCAGAAAAGCAGUGGAAACUGCUAGACUCGAGUGUGGUAGAGGUAGAGGGAAUUCCUAGUGUAGCGGUGAAAUGCGUAGAUAUUAGGAAGAACACCAAUGGCGAAGGCACUCUACUGGGCCAUAACUGACACUGAGAGACGACAGCUAGGGGAGCAAACGGGAUUAGAUACCCCGGUAGUCCUAGCCGUAAACGAUGGAUACUAGAUGUUGCACGUAUUAACCCGUGCAGUAUCGUAGCUAAGGCGUUAAGUAUCCCGCCUGGGAAGUACGCUCGCAAAGNGUAGAAACNCGAAAGGUAUGUUAGNGUGAGAGNGCGAGCGACGACGAGGAGAGG